CCUACGGGAGACAGCAGUGAGGAAUAUUGGUCAAUGGACGAGAGUCUGAACUAGCCAAGUAGCGUGAAGGAUGACUGCCCUAUGGGUUGUAAACUUCUUUUAUAUGGGAAUAACAUGUUCCACGUGUGGGAUUUUGUAUGUACCAUAUGAAUAAGGAUCGGCUAACUCCGUGCCAGCAGCCGCGGUAAUACGGAGGAUCCGAGCGUUAUCCGGAUUUAUUGGGUUUAAAGGGAGCGUAGGUGGAUUGUUAAGUCAGUUGUGAAAGUUUGCGGCUCAACCGUAAAAUUGCAGUUGAAACUGGCAGUCUUGAGUACAGGAGAGGUGGGCGGAAUUCGUGGUGUAGCGGUGAAAGGCUUAGAUAUCACGAAGAACUCCGAUUGCGAAGGCAGCUCACUGGACUGCAACUGACACUGAGGCUCGAAAGUGUGGGUAUUAAACAGGAUUAGAUACCCCAGUAGUC
rnacentral:rRNA from 1 species